CGUCGCCACGGUAAUACGGAAGGUCCAGGCGUUAUCCGGAUUUAUUGGGUUUAAAGGGAGUGUAGGCGGUCUGUUAAGCGUGUUGUGAAAUUUAGGUGCUCAACAUCUAACUUGCAGCGCGAACUGGCGGACUUGAGUGCACGCAACGUAUGCGGAAUUCAUGGUGUAGCGGUGAAAUGCUUAGAUAUCAUGACGAACUCCGAUUGCGAAGGCAGCGUACAGGAGUGUUACUGACGCUUAAGCUCGAAGGUGCGGGUAUCGAACAGGAUUAGAGACCCGCGUAGUCCCUGUCUCUUAUACC
rnacentral:rRNA from 1 species